rnacentral:rRNA from 1 species
UGGGGAAUUUUCCGCAAUGGACGAAAGUCUGACGGAGCGACACCGCGUGGAGGACGAAGUUUUUCGGAAUGUAAACUCCUUUUGGCAGGGAUGAAAACAAUGACAGUACCUGCAGAAUAAGCAUCGGCUAACUACGUGCCAGCAGCCGCGGUAAUACGUAGGAUGCAAGCGUUGUUCGGAAUUACUGGGCGUAAAGAGUACGUAGGCGGCAAUGUAAGUCUGAUAUUAAAGACCGGAGCUCAACUUCGGGAGUGUAUUGGAAACUACAUAGCUAGAGGACAGUAGAGGAAGUCGGAAUUCUCAGUGUAGCGGUGAAAUGCGUAGAUAUUGGGAAGAACACCAGUUGCGAAAGCGGACUUCUGGGCUGUUACUGACGCUGAGGUACGAAAGUGUGGGGAGC